GGCACGCGAGCUGGGUUCAGAACGUCGUGAGACAGUUCGGUCCCUAUCUGCCGUGGGCGUUGGAGAUUUGAGGAAAGCUGCUUCUAGUACGAGAGGACCGAAGUGGACGAACCUCUGGUGUUCGGGUUGUUACGCCAGUAGCAUUGCCCGGUAGCUACGUUCGGACGGGAUAACCGCUGAAAGCAUCUAAGCGGGAAGCCUCUUCCAAGAUAAGAUCUCCCUGGGAACUUGAUUCCCCUAAAGAGCCGUUCAAGACCAGGGACGUUGAUAGGCAGGGUGUGUAAGCGUUGUAAGGCGUUGAGCUAACCUGUACUAAUUGCUCGUGAGGCUUGAU
rnacentral:rRNA from 1 species